CCCUUAGAUGUCCUGGGCCGCACGCGCGCUACACUGAUGCAUUCAACGAGUUUUUCCUUGGCCGAGAGGCCUGGGCAAUCUUUUGAACGUGCAUCGUGAUAGGGAUAGAUUAUUGCAAUUAUUAAUCUUGAACGAGGAAUUCCUAGUAAACGCAGAUCAUCAAUCUGCAUUGAUUACGUCCCUGCCCUUUGUACACACCGCUCGUCGCACCUACCGAUUGAAUGGUCCGGUGAAGCCUCGGGAUUGUGGCGAGUUCCCUUUAUUGGGAGUUUGUCGCGAGAACUUGUCUAAACCUUAUCAUUUAGAGGAAGGUGAAGUCGUAACA
rnacentral:rRNA from 1 species